ACAAUUCAGUGCAUAAGUGCCUUACCACUCAAAUAAGCUCAUGAGUUCACCACAUCAAUUAGAACCCUACAAAACAAACAUAGGUUAGAACUCAAAUGCAUUUGCAUCUCACAAUAUCCAUGAUGAGUAUCCAAACCUGAAACACAAGACAAAGUUAGUUUAUGUGCUUCUAAACAACACUACAAAACACCAAAAACAAAGGCAUAAGAGAUGAAUUCAAAACCUAACCAAA
rnacentral:lncRNA from 1 species